CCAGCUCCAAUAGCGUAUAUUAAAGUUGUUGCAGUUAAAAAGCUCGUAGUUGAAAUUGGGGCAUGCGUGUUGGUGGUCAGCUUUUAGCUGGACUGCUGAUGAGAGCAGCUCAUGAAAGCUGUAACUGUUGUGUUUACCUUUUACGGGUUGAUGCAACAUCAAGGGACAGUGAUGAUUACUUUGACGAAAUUAGAGUGUUUAAAGCAGGCUUGAUAGCUUGAAUAUAUUAGCAUGGAAUAAUGAAAUAGGACCAGUUGUUCUAUUUCGUUGGUUUGAGGAUGACGGUAAUGAUGAAUAGGGACAGUUGGGGGCAUUAGUAUUUCAUAGUCAGAGGUGAAAUUCUUGGAUUUAUGAAAGACUAACUGAUGCGAAAGCGUUUGCCAAGGAUGUUCCCA
rnacentral:rRNA from 1 species